rnacentral:rRNA from 1 species
CUUUCAGCAACGGAUCUCUUGGUUCCGGCAUCGAUGAAGAACGCAGCGAAAUGCGAUAAGUAAUGUGAAUUGCAGAAUCCAGUGAACCAUCGAAUCUUUGAACGCACAUUGCGCCCCCUGGCAUUCCGGGGGGCAUGCCCGUCCGAGCGUC